CCUGGCCAUGGUGGGCCGGAAUUGCCAGCCCAGAGGCUCAAAAUGUCCACAUCCACUUCGGCUGCCCUGUCACCUGCUGCGUUCCGUGGUAAUCUUGGUCUGCUAUACAUCCAAGCAGGAAAACUUGGAGUAGAAGAUGACACUGGUGAUGAAAUGACACGUGUGAACGGUUGCAGGGCUUUGCAAGCAGAAGGCUGCACAAAUUCAGGGUAUCACCUGUUUGGUUUAUACUCCUGAAUUAACUUUCUGCCUUCCCAGUCCACAGGUCUAAUAAAAGGUUUCACUUGGGCUAG
ensembl:lncRNA